UGAAAAGGUCAUCAACAUCAAAAUUGUAUAACUCAUCAAUAUGUAUAACUUUUAUUUUGGUCAUUUCUUCAUCCGAUAAAGUGAUAGUAAUAUUAUUCACAAAAUUUACAUAUUUCUUAUAUGGUUUUCAAGUAUUUAAUAUUAUAUUUGCAAAUUGCGACGAAUUGCUAUAACGUCACAGGUUUUGGGCCGGUUUAUGAAGAAAUCGAUAAACAGUAUUAUGGGCCUUGUAUCCAUAGUUGCAUAUCCGUGACGAUCUCUGAAAACAUCAAGAAAAUUUCAUCAAAUUUCGUCACAGAUUAAAUAGAUUCUUGUAGUAACUUCACGUUUGGAAAUGGGUUAAUUCAAUUAUGCCAUUGCAAAUAUAUCAUUUUAGAAAAAUACCAUUACAAUUCGUUUAUUUAUAUUUGUGCAAUUGUAAUUUUACAAUUAGAAUCGUGCCACUACCGUCAAGUUUUUCAUCCAUCUCUUUCCUCCUUCGUUUUCUUCCUUCUCUCUUCCCAUCUUCAUUCUUACCCACCACCAUCGUCCAUCCAUCCAUGGCCGCUGCGAGCAUUGACGGUGCCUGCCGCUGUGAGCUUUUACAGCGCAAGCACCAGGGCACUCGGCAUGCACGCGGAAGCGACAAUGGUGGAGCAAGUGGCAGCGGCGACGAUGGUGGAGCAAGAAGCGGCAACGGUAGAUCUGGUGACGAGGUGCUGUUGGAAUAAAUGGGCUAGGCCCAAUUUAAUUCAAUUAAAAUCUCAAGGGCCCACAAUUAAUGCUAGGGACAAUAAUACCACCUUAGAGAUUAAAAGUGGAGUAUCUCAACUUAAUUCCUUGAUUGAUUACAUUGUUACUGCGGUAACGGAGGCGGAAUCUCAACUUAAUUCUCGUCCACUUCCCCUUCCCUCCUGCGCAUUAUAAGAAUCACAGAGAUGAGACGAGAGGAGGUUUACUCCACGUCCGAUCUCGUUUACUCCUCAUCGUUUACUCUGCGGUGGUUCAUCUUCCAUCUGUUCCUGUGCUGCUUCUGUACUCCUCGAUUCUGAUCGCGUGCACACAAGUGAUCGGGACGAGCAGGGCCUCCGGAACCACGCCUUUGCCUAAGUACCUAUACGGGUAGGCGGGCGAUCAGUUUUUUGGGGAGUGCUUUCGCACGACUGCUCGCGUUUCAUCUUCUUUUCAUGUUCGUCGUCGGCGUCAACUUCAACCAUGUCUACGGAGGCAACAACACCACGAAUAUCAACACCAGCGGAGGCAGUAUUGCCUCAAACACCAGCGGAGGGCCAUUCUCAGGGUGCUCCAGCACCAACACUCAUUUAUGACGCCGCCAUCAUCAUGGAUCCUCGUCGGCUCGUCGUUGCUUGUCUGCUCAUGAUCAGUGACGCUAUCCUGGCCGCACUGCCGCAGGCCGCCUCGCGUGGUGCUGGCGCUAAUCGCAGGGACGAGCAAAGGUUGCCGAGCUCGCCAGCUGCUUGCUACCUGCAAAUAGAGUGAAAAAAAAAGGUGCAAAUAGAGAAGGAAAAAGAAACCGAGUUCUGAAAUUUUAGGAGGCGCAGAUGCCGGAGAUGGUCACGCUGCUGACGGUGACAUAGAAACGCACCCUCCCUGCUGGUUGCCUCAUUUGAAACAAGGUGGAGAGAGAUGGGAAGGAAAAAGAUGGGAGGAUGAAGGAAGAUGGAAAUGACAUGUGGGUCCCACGCUCCCGUGUGCUCAAAACACACGGUAACGACGUUACCAGGUGCUAGUGCACGGGAACAGCUACUCGGCGGCUUCGUCAGUUUACCGUGCGCACUUCCCGGGUGUUUUACGAUUAUGCGCACGGGAAGGCCAAAACACAUACCGUGUGUGAGCACACGGUAAGGCUGCCGUGCGUAGCUGGACUCGUGUAACGGAGCUCCUAACGGACCGGUGGCUUACCGAGUGUCCUUCACACACGGUAACAUUUGGUGUGUUACCGUGUUUCAUUCACCCGGUAACAUGUGGUGCGUUACCGUGUUUGAAGCACCCGGUAAGAGAACAUGUGGUGAUAAAAAAAUAUAUAUGCUAUUUGCAAUUUGUUUACUA